rnacentral:lncRNA from 1 species
AUCGAUUCCCGUGAUACUAAUCUAUUGACUACCCACAUCGCUCUUGUUCUUGUGAUCUACAGGACAUGUUCGUGGCGGGCACCGAGACGUCAUCGACCGUCGUCGAAUGGGCCAUGUCGGAGCUGAUGAGGAACCCCGAGAUCAUGGAGAGAGCGCAGAAGGAAGCGAGGGAAUUAGCUGCGCAACGGAGGAACAUAAUAGAGGAGAGCGACAUCUCCGAGCCAAACUACAUGAAGCUAAUCAUCAAGGAGACGCUGCGGCUUCACCCGCCGGCCACGCUGUUACCGAGACUGUGCAGGGAGACCUGCGAGGUCAUGGGAUACAGGAUAGACGACGGCACUCGCGUCUUCGUCAACGCAUGGGCGAACGGCAGGGAUGCGCGUUACUGGGACGACGCCGAGAGCUUCAAGCCAGAGAGGUUCCAAGGCAGCGCCAUGGAUUUCAAGGGAGUCGAUUUCGACUACUUGCCGUUCGGGGCCGGGCGGAGGAUAUGCCCCGGAAUCGGGUUCGGGAUGGCCACCGUGGAGCUCGCCCUGGCUCACCUCCUCCUGCACUUCGACUGGGAGCUGCCCCAUGGAAUGAGACCGGAGGAGCUCGACAUGUGCGAGACCAUGGCGUUUGUCGCACCGAGGAAGACGGAGCUGAAGCUGAUCGCUACCAUUCGAGUUCCUAUCCCCAUCGCUACCUGAAGCUUUCUUGUUGGCGCAUUUAUUAUUAAGUGAAGGAUCUAAAUCAAAGAACAAUAAAUCUAAGAAUUAUAAUGCAUUCCUUUCGGUUGAGAAAAAUCUUCUCUACAAACACAACUAGAUUAGUAUUUUUCUCUCUUUCUACCAUUCACUUCUCUUUAAUCUCUAUUAAAUUAUUAUAUAUAUAUAUAUAAGUAAUUAGUAAAAUUUCUCUAAGAUAAUCUCUAAAUAAAUUUUAUUAUAAUUAAAAUUUCUUUUUGUUGAUCGACAAUCGAAUUCAAUCAUACUUAUAAUAUAAUUAGAUGUCUGUCUUUCAUAAAGUGUCAACUUCUCAUAAGUUGAAAAGAUAUAGACUAAGUAUAGAUAGGAAUGAGAGGAAGACAAUUAGCUUAUAGAAAUAUACAUCUGUUGUAGGAAAUAAUGUUGCCACGAAAUAAUUUUAGAUGUGAUUGAUGUAUAUAGAUAAAACCAUAUGCCUCCCAAGAAACAUGCACUUUACUACGUUCCAGAUGACUGUGUUGGAUUUCUCCUAUAGGCAGAUAUAUAUAGAUAAACAAUGUGUUCAUGUCAAUCAGCAAGAAAAGACAACUACUUAAAUAAAAUUGGGUUCUCAAAUGGACGAGGGUGUCUAUACUCCAUCUGAUUCUAUACAUCUUUAGAUCAUCGAAGUAUUGUACUUAUGGAUAAUAUUAGAUUCUCAUUAGAUUUUAGUGGCUUUGAUCAAAUCAAUUGACCAUUGUUGCCAAGAUGUCAUUUUCAAAGAUUUUUUCUUCUUUUAUUGUAGGAAAAUAUUCUAGAAUGACAACUUUUAGUUUCAUUUUUGUUUAGGAGAGAUGUUUUUCCCACACAAAAAAGAGAGACGCUUAAAAUCUAUGAUCACUAGAACACCACUGAGAUAAGGAAUUGCUUCUCAAAGAAAGCAACAAAAACACACAAACAAAUAAAUUUCGUGAAAAAAAUAUGAUCAUGACACGUCGAGCUCGUCUGCGUUAGGACAAUUAUGAUCAAUAUUUGUUUUCACAGUUUGCAUUGAUGCUCGACACAAGCAUCAAUGGCUACACACUGCAAUUUGCACAGUUGUUUUCGUUAAUACUGAGUCUGCUAAUUGAUGCAAAUUGUCAUUGCAAAGCUCAUUCCUGGCCUGUUCGGUCUCUCGAGGCCUGUAGACAACAUCACAAAUGCAUUUACAGCUCACAUCGGUGACCAUCACAGUGAAGUAACGGAAUUGGAACCGAGGAGGAAGAGAGCUCGCCUUCUGUAUCGGUUAUGGACAAGUGUAACCAGAGGGUUGAAGUCCUCGAAGACACUGUCCUCCCACUCUAUUGCUGAAAUGAUGUCUGCCAAAUGUAAUUCUCGUCCUGCCACACGACCUCCUUAUCAGUGCUGCAAUUCUCGUCACUCCUCUCCGCGGAGUUCCAUCUACGUGCAUCUUCCUCGUCUUUUCCAUCACCAAGUACUAGCUCGACCGCCUUGGAAGCCCUUGGUUGGAAUAUAUAUAUAUAUAUAUAUAUAUAUAUAUAUAUAUAUAUAUAUAUAUAUAUAAAAUUGACUUUUCUGUAAAACUUCAAGGAGAAUAGGAAGAGAAUAGUAUAAUAAACCACGAGUACUUUCAAUUAGUAGUGCUUUUGACUGACUGAUCAAAGACCACCUAUUUAUAUUAACUAAAAGAUAAAAUAUUUUUUUUAAUUAUAAAAAAUAUUAUAUCCCAAUAAAUCUUUUCACCCUCAUCUAUUUAUUUAAAUCUAAAUUCUUCUAUUUUAUUUUAUCUAUUCCUAAUUAUUUGAAUUAAUCUUAUCACACCCCUUUAAUUCAAAAGGGUUAUAACUUGAAGAUCUCUUGAAAAAAAUAAAAUUAUUAUUUAUUUUUUUAUCAUCCUCAUAGUUGCUAUUAAUUUAUCAAUUUUCUUAUCAUAAAUCAAGUAUUUUUCAUUUUAAAAAUAGCAUAACAUUAUUUUCUCAUCACUUCCUAUACUAAUGAGAUUUUAUUUUAAAUUAUAAAUAAACAUCGCAUCAUCAAUGAAUUUUUUACCAAAUCUGGUGUUCACGUUAAUUGUUCCUUUCCCUUUAACUUGAACUUUACUGUCAUUUCUCAUUUGUACUAUAGAUCAAAUUGAAUUAUCAAGGAACAACUUUAGUCCUCUGUCAUAUAAUAAAGAUACGGAGUAUUCUUUAUUAAAUGCUAUAAGGAAAAUAUUUUCUUUAUCCUUUUUAUCGUUAUUAUUUUCCUCAUGAUAAUUUGUUUGAGUUUUGUUCUAAUAUUUUUUUUAGAUGACCAUAUAUCUUUUUCAAGAUGACCAUAUUUUUUUUACGGUGAGAGCAGAGAGGAAUAUUUAGUUUUUUAUUUUUUAUUUUUUCAAUAUAUUUAAUUUUUUUAUAAUAAAAAUAUUGACGUGUUUCUUUAUUACCUACAUUAGAAUUCCUCUAACCAUCAUAUAAUUGGCAUUGUUCUUUACCAUUUUGAUCUUUCUCUUGAGAUCUAGUUUUUUACUUUUUCUUUUGGUCUUCUUUUGAUGUAUCUUUAUGAAGGGCUCUAAAGUUUCAUGUGAAGAUUAUUCACUUUUUAUUCAUGGACUAAAAGCAAGCCUAUUAAUUCAUCAACAGAUAAUAUACUUGUACCUUUAGCUUCUUCUAUAGCUAGUAGAAAUAAUAUCAAAUUUUGAAGAUCUUUUAAAUUUUAUUAAACUUUUUCUACUACAAUUUGAUCUUUUAAAUUUUCACCAUAAAAUCUCAUUUGUUUCAUAAUAGAAGAGACUUAAAAAAAAAAAAACCAAUGAUAGAUUAAGAAUUUUUCUUCAUAAGAGCUUCAAAUUGACGCUGAAGAAUUUGAAGUUUUGAAACUUUUACCUUAUUUCUGCCUCCAAACAUACUUUUUAAUAAUUUUCAAGUUUUUAUUGAUAUUGAUAUUAUCAUGAUUUGAGGAAAUAGAAGCUCAUCUAUUGCUUGUUGUAGCAUGUAGAAGGCUAUUACAUCUUUUUGCAUGUUCUUAUUCAUUUGAUCUUUUCGAUCUUCAAUAAUAUUAGGAUUAUAUAGAUCAUACUCAACAAAACUAUUCACUACUAAAUUUUACAAUCCUUGUGAAAUUUUACAAUAAUAUUAGCCUCCUUUUUGCCUCCUCUCGACGUAGGACGAACGCCCACGGCAGCGGAGGAGAAGGAUGAGCAGAUCAAAACCAGAGAGAGAGAAGAGGGAGCGAAUUUGUAGAGAGUUGGUGUGAUUAGUGUGGGAUAUGAUUAAGAGAGAGAGAGAGAGAGAGUGAUAAGGGUAAAAAUGGUGAUGUCACACACGACGUCAGCCGACGCCUCAUGUCUCGAUCGGCGCAACUGCACUCGAUUAACCGAGCCGGAACACUGGCCGAGGCUCAUUAACACACUUGGUUCUUCACGCCACGCCAACCCCAUAUCAGACGCUAUCAGCCUGCCUCCUGCAGGAAGCCACGUCAAGUAACAUCAAACUCAUAUAUAAAUACCCCAGAGUUCUAAACGAACAGGGAGGGAGACGAUUUCACCCAAAAACUCCUCUCCCAAUCACUGACUUGAUCGUCGGAGGGGUCGGGCUGAACCGCCGACCCGACCUGUGUGCAGGUACUCAACUAAAGCCGAUCCAACCCGGCGUUGUGGAACUUUCCAGCCAGACCCCCGCAAUCGGCCGCCCCAAGAUCCCGAGAAGAGUCACGCCUGAUCCCGGCCAUUCGGACCCCUGAACCAGCCGCGUCGACCCCGAGGUCACGGCUAAAAAAGUUACUUACCAUAACAGAUUGGCGCUAGAAGGAGGGGCCCGAAUGUCGAGGGAUCCUCAGACUAAUCCCGACAAACUCCCUGCCGAGGGAUCGUUCUUAGCGGGGGCGCAGACCGUGCGUCCCUUGCGCGACGGGCCGCGGGCUGACGACCUCCCCGCGACCUCGGAACGCUACUAGCGUUCAUUCGACGACCCGAAUCUGCUUCCGCCGGAGGGCGCUCCGAGCGCCCCCUCGCCAGUGUCAUCCGAGGCCUUUCACGACCUCGCUCGUCAAGUCCGAGCUCUGACGGAUAUGGUGCAAACCAUCAUCCCGCCCGUCUCCCAACCGACACCCCCGCUUAAGACUCAACUGCUACGACAACAAGAGCCGCCCGCCUGGGCCCACGUGACGCCUCCGGAGCCUCCCGCUUCGCCUCGGGUCCGACCGACCCCACUCGGGGAUCCAGUGAUGGCAGACCCGAGCGGCCCCCCGGAGCCCGAAGUAUUAUCUCCGGAGUCAACGGAUUCCCUGCGAGCCCAGCUACACUUUCUUAGUCAGCGGCUCGACGAACUAGAGAAGGAGUUUCGCAACUCAGAGGGAGAGCUCGGGAUGGACGCAUACCGAGGAUCUCCGUUCGCACCAAAGAUACGAGAUCACGCAGUUCCCCCGAACUUCCAUCUCCCUUCUUCGGACGCAUACGAUGGCUCCACUGACCCAGCGGACCAUGUUGCCGCUUUCCGUGCCCAAUUGGCACUGUACGGAACGUCUGCGCUUCAAUGUGCAGGGCGUUUCCCACGACCCUGAGGGGUCCGGCCCGCACAUGGUACAGCGGCCUGAAGACCGGAACGAUCACUUCCUUCGGCCAACUCGCCAAGGACUUCGAGCUCCACUUCGUAGCCCAUGCCCGGCCAAAGCCCUCCGCGACACUGCUCCUCGGACUCAAACAAAGAGAGGACGAGCCCCUCUCACAUUUCGUGGACCGCUUUGCCACGCAAAUCCGGAGCUUACCAGACACUCACCCCUCUCUGUUAGUUCAGGCGUUCAUGGUAGGCUUGCGACCUUCCAAAUUCUGUUGGUCCCUCGUAGAGCGACCCCCCACCACAGUACCAGAUAUGCUCCAGCGAGCUAACCGGUACAUCGCGGCGGAAGCUUGGGUGACCGCAAGGAAGAGGAGUGACUUUGGGCGACGGGCCCCGUAGCAGCGGUCAAGCAUCCGCGGUUGCUAUCCGGUGUAAUCCUCGUGCAAGGAAUCUAGCCCCUGCCUCAGUCUCUUCCAAGCGAAGGCUCCAUGUUUACCUGACCGCCUCUUGGCUCACGGUUAGCUUCGGCCUAACCCCCUCUUUUUUGCAUUCGCAUGGCUCGGUCGUAGACGGCCCGAGUCCACCUCAGCGCGGCCUGCGCGCCUGAGCAUUGCCCCUCGGUCGCAGCCUACCUGCGCCGAGCACCUCGGCCACACAUUGCCGAGAUCCACCUCGGCGCGGCUUGUCCGCCUGUGUCGUGCUACUCGGUCGCAUGGUGCCCGAGACCACGUCUGCGUGUCCUGCCCGCCUGCGUCGUGCUACUCGGCCGCAUGGCCCUCGCGACCAUGCCUGCGCGGUCUGCUCGCCUGCGUCGUACUCCUCGGCAGCAUGAUGCCCGAGACCACACCUGCGCAGCCUGCCCGCCUGCGUCGUGCUCCUCGCUCCCAUCAUCCCCGAGACACACCUGCGCGGCCAGCCCGCCUGCGUCGUGCUCCUUGGCUCCAUGUUCCCGAGACACACCUGCACGGCCAGCCCGCCUGCGUCGUGCCCCUCGGCUCCAUACUCCCCGAGACACGCCUGCGCGGCCAGCCUGCCUGCGNNNNNNNNNNNNNNNNNNNNGGCAAGAAAGAAUGAGGAUUUGACGUUUACGUUACUCAACUCUUUAAUCACUCUCUCGCUCUCUCUCUCUCUCUCUCUCUCUCGGUUUGACUCCGCAGAUAUGUAGAGAGAGCAACAACGACACCUCGACGGGAAUUACGUCGAGGAGGUUGUAUGCUCUUUUUACAAUUUUCUGAAAUAACCUAAUACGUAACAAAAAUUAAAAUGUUAACGAGAUUGGCAGUUCAAAACUUCAUUCGAUAAAUAUGAUGAUGUCUCCCAAGUUUAACCGAUUAAGAAGUUAAUUAUUUUAUAGUAAAAUCUAAAAUUAAAAUGUAAAAAAAAGUCAAUCGUAACUGUACAAGCCAUGCCUUUACGUACUAAUUUAUAAUAUUUAUCCUAAUCGAUUUGAUAUUGUUAUCUUUAUUGAUAAAGUUUACUAUUAAUAAUAAUUUUUUACUAUUGACAACCCGCUUGCUAUUGAUAAUUUUUUAAAAAAUAAAAUAUUAUUUUACUAUUUAUAGUCCUUAUAUUAACUAUUUUUUAUCUUUUUUUUAUAACCUCUUAUUUUAUUCUUGCUACCGACAUCCUUUCAAUUAUUGACAUUAUCGCUCACAGUUAUCGUCCGACCCUACUCAUCACCUCUUGAUAUUGACUUUCUAGAAGAAAAAUAUUGAGGAGAAAUUUGAAGAAGAGGAAGAUAUUUAUAUUUAUUUACAAAGAGUUUGUUUAGAAAUAUUAAAAAUUAAAAAAAAAUUAUAAAUGAUAAAAGAAACUUAAAAGUAGUAAUAUCCUUUUUGAUUAGUGGAUUAUGUUGCAUCUACCAACAUAGUUUUUGGAUGAAAUGAAGCUAAAAAGCAUUUCUAAAUCGGCAGUGAUAAAUUUGUUCUCAUUUUAGUCUAUUAUUGUUUUGCUUAUUUUAUAUCACUUAUUUGUGUAUCUCAUUUAGUGAUCUUUAUUUAAUAUAUAUAUUCUUAAUGAUGUCUCAUUUUCUUUUUUCUCUCUUGAUUUGCUUUGUUAUAUUUAUUUUAACAUUUAGUAAUAGAGAUAUGAGAAUAAUAACUUAAGAAAGACCAUCAAUAUCUUAACACCAUAUUAUUGAUACAUUAACGUCAUAUGAUCGACACUCAGUACUAUGUGACUAACAACUCUUUGCUACAUGAUCGAUACCUUAAUAUCAAAUGGUCAAUGCAUCAUCACCCCUCGAGUGCUGUGAUUACUGACUCAACCUUAUAAAAAUUAGUAUAUGAGAUCUAGCUUAACUAGUUGUUACUUCAUGUUCCUUAAAUGCGACGCUACAUGAUCACAUUUGUAGUCGAAGAAAAUACGUAAUCAUUUUAGACAUUAACCACACCAUUAAUCCAAAAAUCAAAUACUCCACUAUAAAUGCCCUCCAAGUAAAUUACACCUUUUAUAUUCGAUAUUAGCUUGAAUCUUUCGAACUUUUUAUUAAUUUAAAUAUCGAAGAGAUCUUAUCGCUCUCUACGUAAUUCUUUUUCAUAAUAUAUCUUACUGAACCUGCUCUGCCCUUCUCUUGACAUCAAGUUUGUGAUAGAUUUAGACUCUAAUCAAGAUUGACUUUUUACCGUCUACGAAAAAUCAAAUUCUAUUCAGCAAACUAUUGCCAUGGUAGUCAUAAAAUAUAAAACCAAAAUCAUGAAUCACAUCCUCAAAUUGUUAGAUUUUACUAAUUAGAUUUUUUAAUUCUCAUAGUUUUAUUUACUAUAAAAGUACUUAAACUUCUCCAACUACACGUACAUGGAAGAGACAGAGUGAAAUCUAUUAUAUUAUUUGCUCUAUGAGCCUGUCAUCAAUCGGUCUAUCCAGUACAUAUCAGUCUUUUUAUUAUAAUAUUAUUUUUAAUAAAAUGAUAAUAAUAAAUAUAAUUUUAGAAAAAAAAUAUAUUUCUUUUUUCACAUCAAAUUAAAAAUAUAAAAGUAGAUGCUUAGGCUAAGUUUAGAUUGGGAAUCUUGAAACAUAAAUUCUUAUUUGUUAUUUUUAUAAAAAUAAAUGAAUAAUAGUUGUUCGACGUAGUUAAGAUGUUAGGAAUAUGAGUGAUUCCGGUCAAAACCCAAAAAAACUACAUCCAAACUUGGAGUUCAAAAGAUGUAGUUAACAAGAGAAAUAUAUAGCUAGUCUCGUAUCUUACCCUCGUUGGAUAGACUAUAAUGGCCAUUAGAAAUCAAUAAAUGAUAAAGCAUGUUAAGAUGAGAAGAAGGCAUCAACAAUGUCAAUAAUGGAAGGAAUCAUAUUGGGAUUUGACUACCGACUACAAUAUAAACUUGGCUCGAUGGAUCGAUUUGUGCAUUUACUUCGUGGGGCCUUAAGCCAUGUUAAAGAUUGUGUAAUAGACCCGGUUGGAUUGGGUUGUUGAUCCAUCAAUCCUACCAGCACUGUGAUAGAUAGCAAGACAUGUUAUUAUAUGAUAUUAGCAUGGGUUAUCCAAAUGUACUACAACUAUUAUGGAUAAGGAUUCUAUUUCAGAGGUUGACUUAAAGUUCAUCUUACAUUGAGAAGAUGGAUUUAUGUAUCAAAAUGUGUAUUAGCUAUAUUUAUAUUAUUAGAGGUAAUAUAGCUUAUCUUUAAAAAUUUUUAAUUUUAUUUUAGGGUGAAUUCUCAGAAAAUUCAUAUAGCACUUUUUUUUUAUUUUUGAAUUUUUUUCCGUUGAAUACCCUAAUUUUUCUUCCUUUAUAGAAAUGUCACAAAAGAUUUUUUUUAUUUUUUAGUUUGAGAGCAUUUUGGUAUAUAUAAAAAAAAGGAUGCGAUGUCAAAAAGUUAAAAACAAAUAGACGGUUUACAAGAAAAAGAAAAAAAAAGGGGACCCUUCUAGGGAUUUUUUUUGACGUGCAAUAUACUUAAAACAUAAUAUAUAAAUAUUAUUUAGAUAAGCACUUUGUAUGAAGGAGACAUUAUAAUUAUAAUAAUUUCAAUGAUAUUAUAAUAUUUAUUAUAAAUAAUAUGACAAACAUGUUGAGAAUAAAUAAUAUUAUAUAUAAUAUAAUAUCAAAUAUAAUAGUUUUAAUUAGAAUAUAAUAUUUAUUAAAAGUAAUGUGAUAAAUGUAUUGAGAAUAAUAAUAUAAUCGACACUUCCUUACAAUCGCAUGUCGAUGUCAGGUGAUAAAUAUGUUGAGAAUAUAUAAUAUAACAUAAUAUGUUAUUAUAAUAUAAUAUUUAUUUGAAUAAGGGGAUAAAUAUGUUGAGAAUAAUGACAUAAAUUACGCUUGCAAUCAUAAAUGUGUUGAGAAUAUAUAAUAUAAUAUAAUAAUUUUUAUUAUAAAAUAUAAUAUAAUUAAAAAUGUCGAAGCAAUGGAUAAACAUGUCGAGAAUGUUAUAAUAUAAUAUAAUAAUGUUUAAUUAUAAUAUAAUAUUUAUUAGAAUAACGACAUGGCCGACACUCGCUUGCAAUGACAUGUCGUGUGUGUGAGGUUACAGCGGCAACUCUACAAAAACCAGCUGCAUUUGGCCGGUCGAUGACGCAGAGAGGGCAUCUGUGGUUCUCCAUGGAACUGCUGCAGCUCCCUUCCAUCCCAGUCUUGGUGUUCUCCUUCCUCUUCUUGCUCCUCUUGAUCAAGAAGAGAGGAUUCACCGGGUGCAGAAAUGAGAGCCACCCACCACGUCGUCCACCAGGCCCAUGGAAUCUACCCUUCGUCGGAUGCAUGCACCACCUGGUCGGGCAGCUCCCCUUCCGCGCAUUCCGCGAGCUCGCCCGCAAGCAUGGCCCCCUCAUGCUCCUCCGGCUCGGCCAGGUCGACGUCGUCGUCGUCUCCUCGCGCGAAGCCGCCGAGGAGAUCUUGAAGAACCAGAGCGUCACCUUCGCUUCCCGGCCCGAGCUCCUCUCUACCAAGUUCGUCUUCUACGGCCCAACCGGCAUCGUCUGGGCCCCCUACGGCCCUUACUGGCGGCAGCUGCUCAAGCUCUGCUGCAUGGAGCUGUUCUCCGCCGGGCGCAUCCGGUCGUUCUCCCCCAUCAGGACGGAGGAGACCCUUGACCUGAUGAGAGACAUCGCGAGGUCGGGCGGAACCACCGUCAACCUGACCGAGAAGCUCUUCGGGCUGUCGAACGCCAUCGUCUGCCGAGCGGCGUUCGGCAAGCGGCGCAAGCACCGGGAGAGGUUCAUCCCGGUCAUCAAGGAUGCUCUGGCGCUCUCCAGUGGUUUCCGCGUGGCCGACAUGUUCCCGUCGCUCAAGUUCAUCGACAUCCUCUCGGGUGCCGUGUUCAGGUUGCGGCGGCUCCGGCGGCAGCUAGACGAGAUCCUGGAAGACAUAAUCAAGGAGCAUGAGGGCAAGGCUUCCGCGAGCAGCGGCGACAAAGCUGGAGAGGUAGACGACCUAGUGGACGUGCUGCUGAGGCUCAAAGACGACCCCCAACUGGAAGUGCCCUUGACGAUGGAAAACGUCAAGGGUGUGAUCGUGGUAAGGAACGAUCCAUCGAUCGAUCGAUUCCCGUGAUACUAAUCUAUUGACUACCCACAUCGCUCUUGGUUCUUGUGAUCUACAGGACAUGUUCCUGGGGGGCACCGAGACGUCUUCGACCGUCGUCGAAUGGGCCAUGUCGGAGCUGAUGAGAAACCCCGAGAUCAUGGAGAGAGCGCAGAAGGAAGUGAGGGAAUUAGCUGCGCAACGGAGGAACAGAGUAGAGGAGAGCGACAUCUCCGAGCUAAACUACAUGAAGCUAAUCAUCAAGGAGACGCUGCGGCUUCACCCGCCGGCCCCGCUGUUACCGAGACUGUGCAGGGAGAC